rnacentral:rRNA from 1 species
CGUACGAUACGAGUUGAUCCUGGCUCAGGAUGAACGCUAGCGGCAGGCUUAACACAUGCAAGUCGAGGGGCAGCGCGAUGUAGCAAUACAUUGGCGGCGACCGGCGCACGGGUGCGUAACACGUAUGGAACUUACCCUUUACUGGGAGAUAGCCCGGAGAAAUCCGGAUUAAUAUCCCAUAAUAAACGAAGUGGCAUCACUUUGUUUUGAAAGCUCCGGCGGUAAAGGAUGGCCAUGCGCACGAUUAGCUAGUAGGUGAGGUAACGGCUCACCUAGGCUACGAUCGUUAGGGGGCCUGAGAGGGUUAUCCCCCACACUGGUACUGAGACACGGACCAGACUCCUACGGGAGGCAGCAGUGAGGAAUAUUGCGCAAUGGAGGCAACUCUGACGCAGCCAUGCCGCGUGCAGGAAGAAGGCGCUACGCGUUGUAAACUGCUUUUAACCGGGAAGAAACCCUCCGACGUGUCGGAGGUUGACGGUACCGGAGGAAUAAGCACCGGCUAACUUCGUG